rnacentral:rRNA from 1 species
ACAUCCCGGAGACCCUUAGGAAACUAGGGGUGCUUCCAUCUGGAAGAAUCUGGAGACAGGUGCUGUAUGGCUGUCGUCAGCUCGUGUCGUGAGAUGUUGGGUUAAGUCCCGCAACGAGCGCAACCCUUGCCUUUAGUUGCCAGCAGUUCGGCUGGGCACUCUAAAGGGACUGCCGGUGUUAAACCGGAGGAAGGUGGGGAGUGACGUCAAGUCCUCAUGGCCUUUAUGACCAGGGCUACACACGUACUACAAUGGCCGAUACAAAGGGCAGCGACACUGCGAGGUGAAGCCAAUCCCGUAAAAAUCGGUCUCAGUCCGGAUUGGAGUCUGCAACUCGACUCCAUGAAGUUGGAAUCGCUAGUAAUCGUGGAUCAGCAUGCCACGGUGAAUACGUUCCCGGGCCUU